GCCAGACUCCUACGGGAGGCAGCAGUGAGGAAUAUUGGUCAAUGGGCGGGAGCCUGAACCAGCCAAGUCGCGUGAGGGAUGACGGUCCUACGGAUUGUAAACCUCUUUUGCCGGGGAGCAAGCGUGCGUUCGUGAACGCGCGUCGAGAGUACCCGGAGAAAAAGCAUCGGCUAACUCCGUGCCAGCAGCCGCGGUAAUACGGAGGAUGCGAGCGUUAUCCGGAUUUAUUGGGUUUAAAGGGUGCGCAGGCGGAAUGUCAAGUCAGCGGUAAAAUUUCGGGGCUCAACCCCGUCGUGCCGUUGGAACUGGCGUUCUUGAGUGAGCGAGAAGUAUGCGGAAUGCGUGGUGUAGCGGUGAAAUGCAUAGAUAUCACGCAGAACUCCGAUUGCGAAGGCAGCAUACCGGCGCUCAACUGACGCUCAUGCACGAAAGCGUGGGUAUCGAACAGGAUUAGAUACCCUAGUACUG
rnacentral:rRNA from 1 species